AGCAGCCGCGGUAAUUCCAGCUCCAAUAGCGUAUAUUAAAGUUGCUGCAGUUAAAAAGCUCGUAGUUGAAUUUCGGGGUCAAUAUGUUGGUCGUGCCUUGGUACGUACUAGCUUAUUGAUUUCUCCUUUCUGACGAACCAUGAUGUCAUUAAUUUGGUGUCAUGGGGAAUCAGGACUGUUACUUUGAAAAAUUAGAGUGUUUAAAGCAGGCUCGCGCUUGAAUACAUUAGCAUGGAAUAAUGAAAUAGGACAUUUGAUUCUAUUUUGUCGGUUUCUAGGAUCGAUGUAAUGAUUAAUAGGGAUAGUUGGGGGCAUUAGUAUUCAAUUGUCAGAGGUGAAAUUCUUGGAUUUUAUUGAAGACUAACUACUGCGAAAGCAUUUGCCAAGGAUGUUUUCAUUAAAUCAAAACGAAAGUUAGGGGAUCGAAGACGAUCAGAUACGUCGUAGUCUUAACCAUAAACUAUGCCGACUAGGGAUCGGAUGAUGUUAAUUUUUAUGACUCU
rnacentral:rRNA from 1 species